rnacentral:tRNA from 1 species
GGUCCCAUCGUCUAGGGGUCUAGGAUACCGGGCUCUCAUCCCGGAGACAGGGGUUCGAAUCCCCUUGGGACCA